AACACAUUCAUAUUAACACACACACAUAUCGACACAUACACUUGGGUGCAUGUCUUGGUAAUUUCUGAGCAUGUUGGUGCUAUGGGAUAUGUGGAGGCUUAAC
rnacentral:sRNA from 1 species